UUAUUAAGACAAAUAUUUCAUAUAUAUCAGUGUCAAGUUUCCCUGUACAUUAAACCUUUGUGUCUGUCUCUUCUGAUACUAAUAUAACUUACCUAUGUGUUCUCCUUUUAACUUCUUUGUCUCUUCUUUUUCUCUUCUCCAGUUUUUGUUUCUGUUCUUGUUCUUUUCUCUUGCCUUUAUCCUAUGGCCUUGAAGUCUUUGGCGUGUCCUGUAGCAGAGGUGGUGUGUCAGCUUGGGGAUCUUGUUUGUGACUGCAGUGUUAUUUAUUUUCUGGACGACUGUGGAACAAUGUGCGUAGCAGUGGCUGCUCGUGUCAUAACAUCAGUGACUGCUGUCAGUGUAGGUGGAUGUGUCGUGUGUUGGCCAUGGACGUUCGCAAUUCAGAUUUUAUCCUUACAUUUUUUUAAAUGGGGGUGGGGCUCUCAGGAUACUGCCCAGGGGGACUUUUUUUUAGAUCGGCAUUGGACAAUAAACUUCUGUAAAUGCAGCUAGGAGUGCUGCAGCAGGCUGCAAGAAUGACACACGUACAGUAGAUACACCUGUUCAGACACACACACCUACAUACACACAGUUAACGGACACGCAUGCAUAUACAGACGCAUGCAGAUGCAAAAACACACUUACACACACACACAUGCUUUGACAAUUCCAAACCAAAGCCUGGGAAAUGUUUUCUCUGCCAUGCAGGGUCAUAUAGUGUCAUUCAUCACCAUUUAGUCACAGUAUAAUCAGACAGAAAAAACUCAUAGACGAGGCAAACAAACCUCCGGACCACAACAUCUCUUCUUUCCUUUCAAAACCCAAAAGGAUGUUCUUCACAAAUGCAACUUCUUGGUGAAUAAAAGCGAGCCAACUCAGGUCCCAGGAGUGUAGAGGCCAGUACUGGCCUCAGGUCAGGUUAUAGUAAGGAUCACUAAGGAAUAUGGUGUGUCAUGGCUGAUCCCAGAGUGGCACGAACACAGACUGCUUGGACUCUCCUGAGGUCAAAGACACUGCAGAGUGGUGUGCAAAGACACUAACAUGGGGAUACAGGACGCUCAGGUCGACACGUCUUCACGACUUUAAGCGAUGAGAGUUAAAAAGAGAAAGACAAGAUCACGAGGGGAACGACACUCUUCGAUCCAGCUCCACUCAACCUGGAUCUCCACAGAUUGUGAAACCGCUUCUAAUUUAUUUUCAAAAACCAGCAGACUGUAAGAGCUUUACUCUCUGGUUAUCUUUCUUUUUUACAGCUCCCACCAGACAAAUACUGUGUCACAAGAUUUCCACUGAGAAAACAUCCCUUCUCUGUACUAUAAUAUAUACAUUUGUUGAUAUGUACAUGUGACUGAAUUAUUUAAUGUAGUCUCCCCUUUUUAUUUCUGUGAAUACUUGCACCUUUUUUUUAUUUUCUGAAGCAGCUUGAACAGUUGAUGUAGUUUAUAAAUGACUCUAAAGGGUACAAAUUGCUCUGUUUUAUUGUAGUGAGAGCUGCAAAGAAUAACUUCCUU